GUUGUAUAGUCAAGUAAUUAAGUGCAUGUGGUGGAUGCCUUGGCAGUCAGAGGCGAUGAAAGACGUGAUAGCCUGCGAAAAGCUCCGGGGAGGCGGCAAAUAUCCUUUGAUCCGGAGAUGUCUGAAUGGGGGAACCCACCUACUUUAAGGUAGGUAUUGCAACAUGAAUACAUAGUGUUGCAAGGCGAACGAGGGGAAGUGAAACAUCUCAGUACCCUUAGGAAAAGAAAUCAAUUGAGAUUCCCUCAGUAGCGGCGAGCGAACGGGGAUCAGCCCAUUAAGUUAUGUGUGUUUUAGUGGAACGCUCUGGGAAGUGCGAACGUAGAGGGUGAUAUUCCCGUACACGAAAGGGCACACAUAAUGAUGACGAGUAGGGCGAGGCACGUGAAACCUUGUCUGAAUAUGGGGGGACCAUCCUCCAAGGCUAAAUACUCCUGACUGACCGAUAGUGAACCAGUACCGUGAGGGAAAGGCGAAAAGAACCCCUGUGAGGGGAGUGANAGGUUAACCGUAUAGGGGAGCCGUAGAGAAAUCGAGUCUUAAUAGGGCGUUUAGUUGCUGGGUAUAGACCCGAAACCAGGCGAUCUAUCCAUGAGCAGGUUGAAGGUUGGGUAACACUAACUGGAGGACCGAACCCACUGUCGUUGAAAAGCCAGGGGAUGACUUGUGGAUAGGGGUGAAAGGCUAAUCAAGCCUGGUGAUAGCUGGUUCUCCCCGAAAGCUAUUUAGGUAGCGCCUCGGACGAAUACCAUAGGGGGUAGAGCACUGUUUCGGCUAGGGGGUCAUCCCGACUUACCAAACCGAUGCAAACUCCGAAUACCUAUGAGUACUAUCCGGGAGACAGACUGCGGGUGCUAACGUCCGUAGUCAAGAGGAAAACAAUCCAGACCGCCAGCUAAGGCCCCAAAAUCAUAGUUAAGUGGGAAACGAUGUGGGAAGGCAUAGACAGCUAGGAGGUUGGCUUANGAAGCAGCCACCCUUUAAAGAAAGCGUAAUAGCUCACUAGUCGAGUCGGCCUGCGCGGAAGAUGUAACGGGGCUAAAACUAUGUGCCGAAGCUGCGGAUGUAUACUUUGUAUACGUGGUAGGGGAGCGUUCUGUAAGCCGAUGAAGGUGUGUUGAGAAGCNAUGCUGGAGGUAUCAGAAGUGCGAAUGCUGACGUGAGUAACGACAAAACGGGUGAAAAACCCGUUCGCCGAAAGACCAAGGGUUCCAGUCCAACGUUAAUCGGGGCUGGGUGAGUCGACCCCUAAGGCGAGGCCGAAAGGCGUAGUCGAUGGGAAAAUGGUUAAUAUUCCAUUACUUCUGUGUAAUGCGAUGAGAGGACGGAGAAGGCUAAAUCAGCCUGGCGUUGGUUGUCCAGGUGAAAGGAUGUAGGCAUGUAUCUUAGGCAAAUCCGGGGUACUCUAUGCUGAGAUCUGAUAGCAAGCUGUACUUGUACAGCGAAGUGGUUGAUGCCAUGCUUCCAGGAAAAGUCUCUAAGCUUCAGUUACACAGGAAUCGUACCCGAAACCGACACAGGUGGUCAGGUCGAGUAGACCAAGGCGCUUGAGAGAACUCUGCUGAAGGAACUAGGCAAAAUGGUACCGUAACUUCGGGAGAAGGUACGCUGUUGUUGGUGAUGGAACUCGCUUCCUGAGCUGACGACAGCCGCAGAAACCAGGCCGCUGCAACUGUUUAUUAAAAACAUAGCACUCUGCAAACACGAAAGUGGACGUAUAGGGUGUGAUGCCUGCCCGGUGCUGGAAGGUUAAUUGAUGGGGUUAGCGUAAGCGAAGCUCUUGAUCGAAGCCCCAGUAAACGGCGGCCGUAACUAUAACGGUCCUAAGGUAGCGAAAUUCCUUGUCGGGUAAGUUCCGACCUGCACGAAUGGCAUAAUGAUGGCGGCGCUGUCUCCAGCAGAGGCUCAGUGAAAUCGAAAUCGCUGUGAAGAUGCAGUGUACCCGCGGCUAGACGGAAAGACCCCGUGAACCUUUACUGCAGCUUGACACUGAACUUUGACCUUACUUGUGUAGGAUAGGUGGGAGGCUUUGAAGCUGGAACGCUAGUUCCAGUGGAGCCGUCCUUGAAAUACCACCCUGGUAAUGUUGAGGUUCUAACUCUGUCCCGUGAUCCGGGACGAGGACCGUGUCUGGUGGGUAGUUUGACUGGGGCGGUCUCCUCCUAAAGAGUAACGGAGGAGUACGAAGGUGCGCUCAGCGUGGUCGGAAAUCACGCGUAGAGUAUAAAGGCAAAAGCGCGCUUAACUGCGAGACCCACAAGUCGAGCAGGUACGAAAGUAGGUCUUAGUGAUCCGGUGGUUCUGUAUGGAAGGGCCAUCGCUCAACGGAUAAAAGGUACUCUGGGGAUAACAGGCUGAUACCGCCCAAGAGUUCAUAUCGACGGCGGUGUUUGGCACCUCGAUGUCGGCUCAUCUCAUCCUGGGGCUGAAGCAGGUCCCAAGGGUAUGGCUGUUCGCCAUUUAAAGAGGUACGCGAGCUGGGUUUAGAACGUCGUGAGACAGUUCGGUCCCUAUCUACCGUGGGCGCUGGAAAUUUGAGAGGAUCUGCUCCUAGUACGAGAGGACCAGAGUGGACGAACCUCUGGUGUACCGGUUGUGACGCCAGUCGCAUCGCCGGGUAGCUAUGUUCGGAAGGGAUAACCGCUGAAAGCAUCUAAGCGGGAAGCCUACCUCAAGAUAAGAUUUCCCUAGGACUUUAUGUCCUCUAAAGAGCCGUUCGAGACUAGGACGUUGAUAGGUUGGAUGUGGAAGCAUAGUGAUAUGUGAAGCUGACCAAUACUAAUUGCUCGUGAGGCUUGACUAUACAACACCCAAGCAGUUG
rnacentral:rRNA from 1 species